GUCUUUUUGAAAUAAAUUUAAAGUCUGACCUGCCCACUGAUAUUAUUAAAGGGCCGCGGUAUUUUGACCGUGCAAAGGUAGCAUAAUCAUUAGUUUUUUAAUUGAAAGCUUGUAUGAAUGGUUGGACGAAAUAUUUACUGUCUCAUAAAAAUUUAUAUUAGAAAUUAAUUUUUUUGUUAAAAAGCAAAAAUAAAUUUAAAGGACGAGAAGACCCUAUAGAGCUUUAUAAUUUUAUUAUUUAAUUUUUUAAGGAAAUUUUAAAUUUUAUAAAAAUAAUUAUUUUGUUGGGGUGACAAUAAAAUUUAUAAAACUUUUAUUAUAAGUGAAACAUUGAUUAAUGAAUAUUUGAUCCAUUAUUAAUGAUUAAAAAAUUAAGUUACCUUAGGGAUAACAGCGUAAUUUUUUUUAAGAGUUCUUAUCGACAAAAAAGAUUGCGACCUCGAUGUUGGAUUAAGAAUUAUUUUUAGGUGUAGAAGUUUAAAGUUUAGGUCUGUUCGACCUUUGAAUUCUU
rnacentral:rRNA from 1 species